rnacentral:rRNA from 1 species
UAUUUUAGUAGAUAAAGUAAGUGCCGUCUUUGAACGGAACUUAGAGACAGGUGCUGCAUGGCUGUCGUCAGCUCGUGCCGUGAGGUGUUGGUUAAGUCCCGCAACGAGCGCAACCCUACUUUUUAGUUGCCAUCAGGUUAAGCUGGGCACUCUAAAGAGACUGCCGUCGAUAAGGCGGAGGAAGGUGGGGACGACGUCAAGUCAUCAUGGCCCUUAUGUCUAGGGCUACACACGUGCUACAAUGGGUUAUACAGAGGGCAGCUAGCUCGCGAGAGUCUGCGAAUCCCUUAAAGUAAUCCUCAGUUCGGAUUGUAGUCUGCAACUCGACUACAUGAAGUUGGAAUCGCUAGUAAUCGCAGGUCAGCAAAACUGCGGUGAAUACGUUCCCGGGCCUU